AGAGAGAGACAUGCGCGCAUAUCAAUAAGCGGAGGAAAAGUAACUAACAAGGAUUCCCCUAGUAACGGCGAGUGAAGCGGGAAGAGCUCAAAUUUGAAAUCUUAAAGGGUUUCCCUUUACGAAUUGUAGUUUAAAGAAGUGUUUUCUGUUGAGGUUUUGGUAAAAGUUCUUUGGAAUAGGACAUCAUAGAGGGUGAGAAUCCCGUAUUUGACCUUUACUUUCAACUUUGUGAUACACUUUCAAAGAGUCGGAUUGUUUGGGAAUGCAGUCCAAAAUGGGUGGUAAAUUUCAUCUAAAGCUAAAUAUUGGCGAGAGACCGAUAGCGAACAAGUACCGUGAGGGAAAGAUGAAAAGAACUUUGAAAAGAGAGUUAAACAGCUACGUGAAAUUGUCAAAAGGGAAGCGUUUGACACCAGUGUUGUUUUUCUGAAAAUCAAUUAAAGAACUGUUUAUGCUAAGUUGUUUAGACUUUAUCAGCUAUCUGUUUAGUUUUGAGCUUUUCUUUAAUGCACUUUUCAGUUAACAAGUCAACAUCAAUUUCUUUUGCUGUAAAAAAGCUUGAGGAAGGUGGCUUGAGAUUCGUCUUAAGUGUUUAUAGCCUCUUGCCUAUGCAGUCGGAGAGAUUGAGGUCUGCAGCGUAGAUCCUUCGGGGCUAAAUGCAUUUGUGCUAAGUUAUAGCAUUUUAUAGACAACUUGUUGACUAUGAUUUGUCUUGUAGCUUACUCGCUUAUGUUAUUUUACCUACGCUUAGGAUGUUGACGCAUGAGAUAUACGC
rnacentral:rRNA from 1 species